CAGCAGCCACGGGAAUACAGAGGGUGCAAGCAUUAAUCGGAAUUACUGGGCGUAAAGCGCGCGUAGGUGGUUUGUUAAGUUGGAUGUGAAAUCCCCGGGCUCAACCUGGGAAUGGCAAUGGAUACUGGCAAGCUAGAGUGUGUCAGAGGGGGGGUGGAAUUCCGCGUGUAGCAGUGAAAUGCGUAGAUAUGCGGAGGAACACCGAUGGCGAAGGCAGCCCCCUGGGCCAACACUGACGCUCAUGCACGAAAGCGUGGGGAGCAAACAGGAUUAGAUACCCCAGUAGUCCCUGUCUCUUAUA
rnacentral:rRNA from 1 species